rnacentral:rRNA from 1 species
AACGAACGCUGGCGGCGUGGAUAAGACAUGCAAGUCGAACGCUUGUUCAGGUGUAGCAAUACAUUUGAGCAGGAGUGGCGCAAGGGUGCGUAACACGUGGGUAAUUUGCCAUGAAGUUUGGAAUAACUCGCUGAAAGGCGAGCUAAUACCGGAUACGACAAUCGGAAAGCAUUUUCUGAUUUUCAAAGUUGGGGAUCGUAAGACCUGACGCUUUAUGAUAAGCCCGCGGCCUAUCAGCUAGUUGGUGAGGUAAUGGCUCACCAAGGCUAAGACGGGUAGGCUGGUCUGAGAGGACGACCAGCCACACUGGAACUGAGACACGGUCCAGACACCUACGGGUGGCAGCAGUCGAGAAUUUUU